UUUUUUAAUUCUAAUUUUUUUUUUUUUUUGAGACAGAGUAACUCUGUCACCCAGGCUGGAGUGCAGUGGUGCAAUCCUGGCUCACUGCAAACUUCCACCUCCAGGGUGCAAGCAAUUCUCACGUCGCAGCAUCCUGAGUAGGUGGGAUUACAGGCGUGUGCCACCAUGCCCGGUUAAUUUUUGUAUUUUUAGUAGAGAUGGGGUUUCGUCAUGUUAACCAGGCUGGACUCAAACUCCUACCCUCAAGUGAUCCGUCUGCCUUGGACUCCCAAAGUGCUGGAUUACAGGUGUGAGGCACACACCCAGCCCAGGGAGACCCUGUUUCUACAAAAAAAUUAAAAAAAUUAGCUGGGUGUGGUGACAUGGGCCUGUAGUCACAUUUACUUGAAGAAUCCCAGCUGAGGCAGGAGGAUCACUUGGGCCCAGGAAUUCAAGGCAAGGGAGCCGCGAUCGUGCCAUUGUGCUCCAGCUUGGGCGACAGAGUGAGACUUAAAAAUUAUGAAAUGUCCUCUCACCCUCGCCCAAAAGAGAUCACUCAUACGAUCAACACGCCACGGCUAGUAAUUGGUAAAGAGUGACCAAUAACAAGAUCCUCUAACUCUCCGUUGUGUUCUGUCAACUCUUCCUUCUAAAUCAUUAAUUUAUGGCGAGGUGGUGAGUAGUUAAUGAUGCUGUAAUAGACAGAGGAUGUGACAAAAGGUUGAAAACACAUUCCUCGAUGAUUAUGGUAUAAGGAGAACCACCUCUGAGUUUAGAAUUUAUAGGAUGUUUCAACCCCUGUGUUUCUAUAAUGGGCUUUUCUUUUCUUUUGAGACAGGGUCUCACUCUGUUGCCAGGCUACAGUGCAGUGAGGCUAUCUUGGCUCACUGCAGCCUCGACCUCCUGGGC
rnacentral:lncRNA from 1 species